GUACUUCCAAAGUACUUGUACCAAAAUUGGAACGAUACAGAUGUGAUUAGCAAGGCACCUGCGCAAGAGUGACACCCAAACUCGUGAAGCGUUGCACGCUACU